rnacentral:rRNA from 3 species
UAAUAAUUACAACUUUCAACAACGGAUCUCUUGGUUCUGGCAUCGAUGAAGAACGCAGCGAAAUGCGAUAAGUAGUGUGAAUUGCAGAAUUCAGUGAAUCAUCGAAUCUUUGAACGCACAUUGCGCCCUUUGGUAUUCCAAAGGGCAUGCCUGUUCG